GCUGGGCGUGGUGGCGCAUGCCUGUAAUCCCAGCUACUCAGGAGGCUGAGGCAGAAGAAUUGCUUGAGCCUGGGAGGCAGAGGCUGCAGUGAGCCGAGAUCAUGCCACUGCACUCCAGUCUGGGCUAUAGAGCGAGAUUCCAUCUCAA
rnacentral:SRP_RNA from 1 species